GACGAACGCUGGCGGCGUGCUUAACACAUGCAAGUCGAACGGAAAGGCUCCAGCUUGCUGGAGUACUCGAGUGGCGGACGGGUGAGUAACACGUGGGUAAUCUGCCCUGCACUCUGGGAUAAGCCUGGGAAACUGGGUCUAAUACUGGAUAUGACCUUUCUCCUUAUGGGGUUUGGUGGAAAGUUUUUCGGUGUAGGAUGAGCCCGCGGCCUAUCAGCUUGUUGGUGGGGUGAUGGCCUACCAAGGCGACGACGGGUAGCCGGCCUGAGAGGGUGAUCGGCCACAUUGGGACUGAGAUACGGCCCAGACUCCUACGGGAGGCAGCAGUGGGGAAUAUUGCACAAUGGGCGGAAGCCUGAUGCAGCGACGCCGCGUGAGGGAUGACGGCCUUCGGGUUGUAAACCUCUUUCAGCAGGGACGAAGCGUAAGUGACGGUACCUGCAGAAGAAGCACCGGCUAACUAUGUG
rnacentral:rRNA from 1 species